GGUGUUGUGGCUUUCUUGUCUGGGAGAGGUUGAUCUUCACCUCAAAUUCCCUCCCUCCCUACUCUGUGAGCUGAUUUGCAUAUUCAUGAAAAUACAUGAUUUCAAAAGACACUAUAAACAGUUUCAGAAUUAUCUGAAUCUCAGACUCUUUUUUUUGGGUUGAGAGUAGAAUUUUUCUUUUUUUGAUCAUGUCCUGGGCUGCUCUUUUAAUCACUGUUUGUCUUUGCACAGGUAGGUGUACAUGGGGAAUGCACAUCAUGCUGUUUUCAAGCAGUUAAAUACAUGACUAAUGAAUUUUGCUUUCUGCUUUCAGAUCAUCUUUUGGCUCAGGAGAUUACGCUGCAGCAGCCAACUUCAGAGUCUGUGAGUGUGGGAGGGAAGGCCAAAUUAGCAUGUACAAUGAACACUGGCAUUGCCAUAGUGUCCUGGUACCAGUUUAAGGAGGGUAGUGCCCGCGUUUUGUCUACAAGUUUCGUAUAGCUGGUGAUGGAAACAAUGGACCUGGACCUGGAAUCAGCAGCAGAUUCUCAGCCUCUCAUGAUUCUGAUACAAAUACCUGGCAUUUAGUUAUUAAAGAGGCCCAGAUUGAGGAUGAUGCAGAUUAUUACUGCUCAAUAUGGAAUGCUAAGAUCAGCAGGUAGUCACAGUGACUCAGAGAUAUCAGGAAGUUAUACAGUAACCUCCUGCACGUUACACAGCAGCACAGGG